rnacentral:tRNA from 1 species
GACUGUAUGGUGUAGUGGUUAUCACGUCUGCCUCACACGCAGAAGGUCCCCAGUUCGAGCCUGGGUACUGUCA